rnacentral:rRNA from 1 species
UACGUAGGGCGCGAGCGUUGUCCGGAAUUAUUGGGCGUAAAGAGCUCGUAGGCGGUUUGUCGCGUCUGCUGUGAAAACCGGAGGCUCAACCUCCGGCCUGCAGUGGGUACGGGCAAACUAGAGUGCGGUAGGGGAGAUUGGAAUUCCUGGUGUAGCGGUGGAAUGCACAGAUAUCAGGAGGAACACCGAUGGCGAAGGCAGAUCUCUGGGCCGUAACUGACGCUGAGGAGCGAAAGCGUGGGGAGCGAACAGG